CGUUGCAAAAUUGUUGCUCUUUCAUGUUUUCAGAUGUAUAAACUAAUUUUGCGGUGUUUAAGUUUUUGUUUUUCAUUUCAGUGCAUACAUCAAACGGCGGAUGUUCGGCCAAUUGUUGUGGUUCUUAUUCAUUAAAAAUUGCGAAGUUAUCAUCAUCGAUUUCGUAUAGUGCGUACAUCGAUAUACUUAUAGAAUUACGUGAAUUAUUUGCCGUGGUGAAUUACAUGUUGUCAGUGUAUUAUUCUACUAAGCUAGCUGCUCGUUAGUUGCACAAAUUCAAGAUUGCUACAUAUUUAAAUAUUAUUUUAUUAUAUUUUUACUGUGCAAAUUUGUGCAUCUUGAUACUUUAGUGUUCUGGAUUGAAGCCGCUGACGGACGCCAGCUCCUCAGGGAAAUAAACCAUUAGUCAGUGGCAUCAUUUCAGUUUUCAAUAGAGAGGGACAAAGGUUUUGACCGGCCUGAAUGGAUAAAAAAGCGCUCUCAACCGCGUAUUAUCUACUUACAUUUUUGUAUGGUACCCUUUUUAUUAACUAGGUAACAUCAUUUUUAA